rnacentral:rRNA from 1 species
UUCGCAAUGCCCGAAAGGGUGACGAAGCGACGCCGCGUGUGGGAUGAAGGCCCUCGGGUUGUAAACCACUGUCGGGAGUUAAGAAUUGUAGGAAUGCUAAUAGUAUUUCUACUUGACUAAGGCUCCGGAGGAAGCCACGGCUAACUCUGUGCCAGCAGCCGCGGUAAUACAGAGGCGGCAAGCGUUGUUCGGAAUUAUUGGGCGUAAAGAGCAUGUAGGCGGCUAUGUAAGUCGGUUGUGAAAGCCUUCCGCUUAACGGAAGAAUGGCGGUCGAAACUGCAUGGCUUGAGUGCGGGAGGGGGGAGUGGAACUUCUGGUGGAGCGGUGAAAUGCGUAGAUAUCAGAAGGAACGUCGGCGGCGAAAGCGACUCUCUAGACCGUAACUGACGCUGAGUGUGCGAAAGCUAGGGGAGCAAACGGGAUUAGAUACCCCGGUAGUCCUAGCCGUAAACGAUGGGCACUAAGUAGAGGGGUUUU